AUGGCCAGACACGCACACCACGACCCCGACGCAGCCCGAACCGCGCCUCACACGCCCCGCGCGCGCACGCACACACGCCCGACGUGUCUCGCCGUCGCUUAUUGCCCAUCACUGGCCGUGUUCUCCCUGGCCAGCGCGUGUGGGGGGGACUGCCCGACGCCCAUGACGCCAUCAACCCCGUCGACCCCGACACCGACCCCGGCGUCGCUCGGUAGGUGCCCGCGCGACGCACCGAAGCUGGGCGUCUGCGCCAACGUGCUUGGCCUGAUCAAGGCCAAGGUGGGGCUGCCGCCCACUCUUCCCUGCUGCCCGCUGCUGAAGGGGCUCGUCGACCUCGAGGCGGCCGUGUGCCUCUGCACGGUGCUCAAGGCCAACGUCCUCGGCAUCAACCUCAACCUCCCCAUCGACCUCAGCAUCAUCCUCAACCACUGCGGCAGGAACGUGCCCACCGGCUUCAUGUGCUAA
rnacentral:rRNA from 1 species